rnacentral:rRNA from 1 species
UAAACGACUCUCGGCAACGGAUAUCUCGGCUCACGCAUCGAUGAAGAACGUAGCAAAAUGCGAUACUUGGUGUGAAUUGCAGAAUCCCGUGAACCAUCGAGUUUUUGAACGCAAGUUGCGCCCGAAGCCAUUCGGCCGAGGGCACGUCUGCCUGGGCGUCACGCAUCACA